AGUAACUGAUUCUCAUUAUUGCUCAUAGUUGGUGGUUUCUAUACAUAAUGAUAUCGAAACAAACACCUCACUUUCUACAUUUAGUUCUUUCAUUAACCCUUCUAAUGCCGAACAACGAUAUAUCGUUGUUGGCAAUACUUGCGAAAAUGAUAAAACCAAAAUUAAGUUUACGUAAAUUUUGUGGAAUUGUAAUGUAUGAACUAAUUUUUUAUAAACAAUAAAUAUACUGGGUGUCUCACGCAACUAAACCGUUGGAAGUAGAAAAAGAUGUUAAAAGUGAAAGUUAAAUGGUGUCGGAUGGUGCAUAACAUGGAACUAAUUUUGUGCAUUUUUGUGCAUCGGUGCAUCAGAAAAUGCAGCUGCGUUUAAAAAAAAAAAAAAAAAAUGGAAACCUAUAUUUCUGGCGACACAGAUGGAUGCAGCUUCUUGUGUUCUACAAAAAAGUAUUAACAUAGCGAUGCCCUAAAUUUUUUUUAAAUAAUUCUAUAAUGUUUCAAAGUUCCGUUGAAUACGCUUCCUUCCCUGUUUCUUUCUUCCACGAGGCUCCCUAUAAAAGGCUAUGUUACCUACGUGCAUAGGCAACGUAGGUUACUUAAUACUGCGUGGGGUGUUUUCAGAUGUCAUUAGCGGGUAUGUGAAAUAAUUCGAGGUCAAACGUUGACGUUUAGGGAACAGUUUAUGCGCGCCAAGUAUUCAUCGUCUAAUCAGCGUGCUCCUUGCAGCGUGUAUCGACAUUUGUUUGCGCUUCUCGAAAUCUGUUAACUGAAAUAAUGCUUCGCACGCUGUACAAUUUCAAAAUAUAACCACACAAACUUUUGGGAGUUGAAUCACCGACAUUCUCUGCUUACAGCAUCUCCAAAUGUGGCAAAGAAACGGCGGAACGCUUCAACUUAAACUCGUACGACCGAGAAAACUCCGAGGAUGAAAACAGCGAGGAAAAUGUUGGGAAUAAAUGCAUAGAAAAGUCGUCUGGCACGACCGUAGUCCAUGAUCUUGAGCGGCAUUCUCGAGUCGUGGGAGUCCUUCGCAUAAUUAACGCCACGAAAGAAUGCAACGGUGAAAGAGAAGGCUCAGAGCGAGAGAAAAACAGCUUUGCGUACGAGAGAAAGACGGAAACGGUCGCGAAAUGAAAGGCGGAGACAGAGAUGCAAACAGCGGCUACAGGAAAAAAGAAAGACGAAACAGAGACGGAACAGGAGCGACAUAAUUAAUGAUUUCUCCGUAAUAAUUAGCGUUUUCACUGAUCUUGACUGGCCCGCGAGUUCCUUCCUUCAGGAAGAAGUAUAAAUCGAAACCGUGAAAUUAACAUUCAAGAGAACAGGAAAAGAAAACUCGUCGAUUUGUCGAUAAUUGUUAUACCUCGGUUCGGAACAAUUUUCUCAGUAGGAGGGAUUACGUAAAACAUUGUACAACGGUUGGUAUGCCAAUGAAGUAUGCUAGAAGAGACUUCAUGCGUGUAAAAGCGUUUUCCGCGAGUCUGAUCCAUAUUAUAGAACGAAGGUGGGUGCAACAUAUAACGGAAUGCCGCAGAUACCACCCACGGCUGGGAUCACUAACAUUUCCCAUAUGGCCGUUAUCCAAAGAAAAUGUGUAUACACGGUUCCGGGUUCACGGCUGUGGGACGUCGCUGGUCACGCGAUUCACGCGCUCGGAUAAUAACCGCACGAGAACCUUCUUCGAAGGGCUCGAGGAAGUCGCGAGGAGAGUCGUUAACGAACCUAAGCUUCUGAUUACUACUACGUGGAUCUGAAAUACGCCGAGGAAGGUGUACUGAAUAAUCGCAGGGCUUCCUUCGAAAUAAUAUGUACACGUUUAACGUAUUUUCAGAAAGAUCUAUUAUUUUUGCCAAUAUUUUCCUUUAUUUUAUUAUUAAGAUUGUAUAGUUAAAAUUGAUAUCUUUAUUGUCAUAAUUGUAAGUGAGAAGACGACUCCAAAUCUCGAGGACAAGUAUUAAUUAAAUUGUAUAGCAGGUUUGAAAAGAUUAAACGAAAAAUGACACCACGAUUAAAUAAUAACAUUCUUUCAUCAGAAUUACUUUAGAACACUUGUCGUUAAUUAUACUAGGUACCGGAAGAAUUUUAUGAAUUAUUCAUUAAUCUUGGUAAAGAAUGAAAUUACAGCAGAUAAAUAAAUUUAUGUGCAUAUCUUUCCGUAUGUUUUGUUUAAAAUAUUCUUUUGUAUCCACCUUCGCUCUGUAAGUAAUUCUGUUUAUAACAAGUGAAAGUGAUCACAGGUUUGAUGCAUUACAUUAGAAAAGUUAGUUUCCAACAAAAUGACUGCAGUGUGCGGUUAGCAUGUGUUAUAAUUAGUAAAAUUGCGUAUAGAUUGGAAUUACAAUUACACGUAUAAUUUUUAUUUCAAAUACCUACUUUGAUUAACAUAAAAUUGUAACGAAAUCAAAACUAAUAAUGCUAAAUAUUUUGCUAUCUCAUCAAUUUUAUUAUCUCAUUUAUGUAUUCAUAUAAAUAUAAAUUUAAUAGUUAUUGACGAAAAAAUGUUGCUUCCAUUUACGAUUAAUUAUCAAAAUAAAAUUGUGUUUACAAUGUAAUGUAGUAGUUAAAAUGUCAUAUAUUAAGAAAUAGAAGCAUAAAAGGUAAGUAUUAUUUGGAUUACUUCAUUUAAUGUUGAAAAUAAAUGGGAA